rnacentral:rRNA from 1 species
GACGGAGGAGGCGACGGUUAUCCGGAAUUAUUGGCCGUAAAGGGUACGUAGGCGGCUGGUCAAGCCUGGGGUCAAAGGACACAGCUCAACUGUGGGAAGGCCCUGGAAACUGACCGGCCAGAGUGAGGUAGGGGUUGCGGGAAUUCCCGGUGUAGCGGUGAAAUGCGUAGAGAUCGGGAAGAACACCUGAGGCGGAAGCGCGCAACUGGGCCUCAACUGACGCUGAGGUACGAAAGCUAGGGGAGCGAAUGGG